CCCAGCCCCUGUCGCAUGUUAAGCCACGCCCCCGACACAAUGUGUUUUGUUUUUUUAAUAAUACCUGGUGGAGGAUUCAUUAUUUUCCCCCAGGGAUUAUUAAAAAAACAAACACAUUAUCCUUGAUACAGUGCCAUAAUUGCCAACAUUUGAAAAAAAAAUUCCAAGGACAUUUUGCAGCACAGCUAUCAAUUACUGUCU
rnacentral:lncRNA from 1 species